AUGCCGGUGACCUCGCUGUCGCUGGGCUGGACUCGGAAGCUGUGGGAGAACUCUGGGCGGCCGCCCCGGGGCGGAGCGAGCCCCGCACCGCCAAUGCCGCUGCAGCCGCUCGCGACCCGGACCCAAGCUCUGCCUGGUCCCUACCCCCACCCCGCCCCACCCUCCACGCCCAGCAUCCCCAAGUUGCACAGAGAACUGAGCCCCGGGCGGGUUUCCCACAUGUCGUCUGAGCCUCGGAGAGAGUGGGAUGGGAAACCUAAGACUGGAUUCGAACCCUUUCCCACAUGUUUUCCCACCCCAUUACAUCCCCUCUCAUGGAGUCCACAACUACAGAUCUCUCUGAGUGUGUGUUUUAGGAAGAAAAGUUUCUCCCUCAAUCCUGGUUGGAGCUGGAAACAGACAAGUCAUGUCGGAGUUCUGUAGACACAUACAACCAUCUGGCAGUUCAGACAUUUGACCGUGAAUUUUCUCUGCGGAAUGUGUUCUGAUUGAAGAUGACCUAGAGGAAAUGAAAGUUGUGUUUUGAGGGGGAGACAUGCUGCUGUGUCCAGUACAUUCUGUUCAGGACAGAAAGGAAAGUCUAGAGCUGCACGUGUGAAGAAGGAACUUUUUGAUCCAGUCUCUUGAGAAAUCAAGCCCGGUAAGCCUGAGUAUGACUCACCAGAUGAGGGUUGUCUUUUUCCACUGAAAUUCAUUUGCUGGCUGAGACUUAUGGCUUUGCAUCCAUCUUAGAGCCGCAGACCAUCAGAGAGCUGCAGGGAUGGGGCAAGGGCCAGCCCUGGAGAGAUCUUUGCUUUAUUUUCAGGUAUAUGAUUCCCAUUUAGGUGUCAGCUAAUCCGAUAUUGCUUUCACUUGACCUCACUUUCUCAGGGUUUGGUUUAAACUGAGUCAGAGUGGCCUGGCAUAAUAAAUACCUGUUAGGGGAAUAAAUGCUGAGUUUGCCCCUUUGAGCCUCCACUGGAAGGUAUUUCAGAUCACAGAUGGGAAGGCACUGUAACAUCACAGUUAAGAGUUUGGUCUCUGGAGUAAACUCAUUACACUUUUUGGUUACUUGCUCUGUGACCCCGGGCAAAUUGCUUAACUCCUCUGGGCUUCAGUAUUCUCACCUGUUAUUUGGGACUUAUACAGCCUGAAAGGGUUAUUGUGAAGGACUGAAUGAGAUGCAGCAUGCUGAUCAUGCUCAGAACAGGUCCUCACACAUACCAAGUGUUCACUACAUGAUGACUUAUUAUUAUUUCAAGGAAAAUCUGGUGGUACCAUCUUCAUUGUUAGAGGCACUGAUGUAGCCAAACACAGGGUCAUUAAUAACUAGCAGGUACUUGGGGUGAGAGAAAGGCUCAGAGCCCUUUUCUGUGAUCGCAAUCACAGCUGCUUCACCUCCGUCCAUUAUUAUCCAUCCACCAGGAUUAGCCCUGGUGGCCCUCUGACCUCUUUCUACCUUCAUUUUAUUGAGAAGCAAGGUAAUAUCAGAGUAAAAGAAGCUGAGUCCCUGCAUCAGAAAGGGACUUGACUAGCAUUAGCUAUCUAGGCCCUGACCGAGGUUAGAGAAUCUGAAUUUCAUCAUAUUUUCUGAUCCUGGAAUUUUGCGUUAUCAGAUAUUAUUUGAAAUAAAUGGGCCAUUUGCAUUUGUGUGUGAUAGAGAUCUGGGCCACAUAUAAUCAGGUUUGCUGUAGUGGUAUUUGACUAGUAUUAGAAUUCAGAGUCAUGGAGUUUCUAGUAUGUCCUCAGAUUUUAAGUUAUACAGGCACUCUUCCCCUCUUGUCUGUGUGAGAGAAAUCUGUGAACCUUCCCCCAUCUGUGUGUCACAGUCCCACAGCAUGAUGGUUUGUCCCUGCUUAUGGGGAGGCUUAGGACGGGGUUUGAAGGGGCCUUGUAGGUCAGGAGAGAAAUGCAGCAGCAGGACUGAGUUGGGG
rnacentral:lncRNA from 9 species